CGAGACUUGCUUUUCCUGUUAUUCCUUCCACAUGGAGAGUCUGCACGAGACUUCAUAAAUACACAUCUACCAGAUGAUAUGAGGAAGAAAUGAGAAGGAUCACACAAGCACCAAAACCACGGGGAUAAGACUGAGGCACGCCCCGUAGCAAGAUCGGGUGACUGCCGAAUGUCUUUAUCCAUCAUCACAACAUCCGCUGUCAACACCGACCCCAUCUAGUCUGGGGGAACUAAGUACAGCAAUACCGAGACAGCAACAGCGACGUCGGAGCAGCACCAGGGUGGCAUCGGAGUGGCACUGGAAUAAUGUGAAAUAAAUAGGAUUGAAUCCUAUUUUUUGCGAUUUGAUGCGCGUCAGCUAGGGCAUUGAGCAAUCAGAGAAGAGCUUCAAUGCACGCGGUCCAGCAGGGUGAAGCAGCGUCCAGAAUGACGGAGGAAACAAUAAUACUUGCCAUUGAAAAAAUACCCAGAGCUGUAGGACAAAGGGCAUCACAAUUAUAAAGAUACAGAUUUGAAAGACAAUAUAUGGGAGUCAAUUUCAAAGGAACUGGAUAAGCCUGAGUUAUUGUCAUAUGUGUUGAAAUACAGUCAGAGAAGACACUCUGAAAUACCGUCGGAGAAGACACUCAUAAUUACUACAUCAUGUUGACGAAUAUGUACCAGUCUUGAUCAUAGUUUUGUCAAUAGCAAUCUUGAACAGUUGUAUAGAUCUGGCAGUUUUGAAACCUGUGGCAUCGCCUCUGUGUCACUUCUGGUGUGUAUGGUCAUGUCACUGCGAAAGUGUCUUGUCGCCAAUUAAAAAAUCGCAUCGCAUCUGGUGUGUGGAGACCUUUAAGGAUGUAAUGAAAAAUUGGAAACUAAAUAACAUGAAUCAACAGAAAUAAGAGAAUUGUUUAAUUUUGCUUACCAUUUUUGUGCUACCUUUAAUUAUGUUGAUAUUGAAAAAAAUACUUUUGAUACUUUUUUUUUUACAUUUCCCUGUCAGAUUACAAUCUUGGGAUUGUGAUCAGUUUUUGUACAAAGUGGGGCUCUGCUGUAGUGCAGCUCAGGGCACCAUUCUUCUUUCAGUUUUGAGAGUGGUGAAUCUGAUCUUACUCAUAGUUGUUUAUGGAAAUCCUAGCCAACAGCCUUUCUAAUCUCUCCCAGAAUACUCCCUCUGGUCAUCUGUUGCAAAGCUUUAACUGAGAACCUUUUAUUUGCAAGCUCAACAGCUUUCCCAGCGAAUGCACACAUACAGGACACAUGUAUAUCUGAAGCUGCACAGGGUUAAUAACUAUAUUAAAUAAUAAUACCGUCCAGACAAGUGCUUUUAAACUAUUGAAUGUAAUAUAUUACUUAUGUAUUUGAUUUCUCUCAUGUUUAAACAUGUUGAAGUACAGGUUAUUUUAUCAGUUCACAAGUGUUUUUUUUGACUAAAAAGUGCAUCCCAUAAAAAAACAACACACAACCAUAUAUUCUUUGUAUGCAACUCUAGAACUGUAAGUGUAACAAGACGGAAGCUGGGUGCGAACCAGUGACCACCACACACUGCAAGUGGGUGUCUUAAUCAAUGCUCAUAUGAGAAUUCAUAACAGGUUUCCAGAAGUGUCAUGAUUUAUGUAUUCCUGACAUGGGUUUCCCUGUACUAAAUGGCUUAGGAUAAGUAUCCUGUUGGAAUGUGAUUCUCCUGUUUUUGAAUUCAUUCUCUCUCUCUCUCUCUCUCUCUCUCUCUCUCUCUCUCUCUCUCUCUCUCUCUCUCGUGAGAAAGUGUAGUCCUGGGGAGCAAAGUAAGCAAAGGACUACACCUCCCAGAAGGUCACAAGCUGAAAAGCCUUAAUUUCUUUAAUUGUUUUAUUAGUAAUUAUCCCCUGCACCUGGCUAUCAUUGUAAAUUAGAGCCAGGUGCAGAGUCUGUUCUGGGUUGUUGUGUGAAGGAGCCGGAUUGAAUGAGUGCGCAAUCGUAUGAGAAAAGGUAUCGUGUGAAGCCUUUUUUGUGAUUUGUUAAAAAACUGUGUUUUGUACAGUAGCCAGCAAACAGCGUAGCUGUCCGGCGACAGUUAGGUUCCUGACUUGUGUUUAGUCAGCGCUCCAAAACGGAGUUAGGUUUUGUUUUCGUUUUAGUUAUUUUGUUUAUUAAAAAUAACGCGUAAGUGCUUCAAACUCAAGUUCAGUGUCUGGGUCUGCAUUUAAAGGGGCAACGAACUGUGGAGAGAAAGCUCUGGUUUUACUAAUAUAUAAUAUAUAAUUGAAAGGUCCCUCUGUAUGUCCCCAAUUACAAAAGUAUUGGUACCUCUGCUUUAGUAUUUUGUGUGUCCUCUUUUGCUUUUGUUGUGUCUUUCAGAUAAAUAUAUAUAUAUAAUAUAUGUAGGCAAUUUAUUUUAUUUCCUCCCAAUUUGGCAUAUCUAAUUAUUUUUAGGCUCAACUCACCGCUACCACCCCCCGCGCUUACUUGGGAGCGGUGAAGACAAGCACACGCUGUCCUCCGAAGCGUGUGCCAUCACCCAACUGGGUGGGGCUCAGCCAAUUGUGCACCGCCCCCUGGGACCUCCCAUCUAUGGUUGGCAAUAAAAUAGCCUGGAUUCAAACCAUCAACAUCCAAGCUAUAGGGCGCAUCCUGCAUCCCACUCGCAGUGCCUUUACCAGAUGCGCCACUCGGGAGCCCCCAUGUUUAAGAGAAUUCUUAACCAGUAUGUUACAUCUUGUUGGUGAAACUGCCUAUGAGCAGAUUGUAUCAUUGUACUUUGUAGAACGUUCUGAUAUAUGGCUGUAUUUAUUCGAUCUUCAAUUACAUCUAUGUCUCCAGUCUUGGCUUAUUUAAGACCAUUUGUUUCAUGAAGUUUCUUUUAAAAGUAGUUUGCAGUGAGCUCUACAUGCAUACAACUCUUCUGUGUUCAGGUGCCUUUCUACAGCUCUUUCAUGCACUAUUAUGUCUGAUGCUUCUAAGUCCUUGACUUUUAAUCUUGGAUUUCUUUUAGCUGCUCAGAUGAUUCUCCUGCCUGCUGUACCCAUAAUUUUCUUUGGACGUCCACUUCUUUAAAGCAUUUUAGUUGAAUUUGUUCUGUGGCACUUCUUGAUUAUUGUUCGAAUUGUGGAUUUUGGUAUUCCAUUGUUCUUUGAUAGUGUUCUGUAGCCAUUUCCUUUGUUGACCAUCAUUUGCUGUGUUGCCAAAAUGUUCUUCAACAGAUGUUUCAAUUAUUCAUGAAAUUACCUCUUUUUUUGGCUAUUGACUAUAAUGCAGCUUAAUUACUAUAAUAGUUUUGAAUCAAUUUUAAUAUAGUUAGUUAAUUAGUUAAAUACACUUUUUACAGACUUUUUAUGUUAAGGUGCCAGUACUUUUGUCAUGAACAAAUUUGAAAUUGCUGGUGCUUUUUAUGUAAAGAUUGUUCGUUAAACUACCAGAAAUGUUAUAAUUUGGUCUUUACAUAUUUAUUGGCAUAUAAUGCCCCCUAAGUGCUAGUAUUUAACAUGUUUCAUGAAUUAUCAUAUACAGUGUGAAGUGUCAGGUGCUAUGGUAGGGUAGCGCUGGUCAGCAGCGUGAAAGUAGACACAGAAGCAGGAUACUGCAGUUUAGCACAAAUGCACACUUAAAAAUGCACACUAUUAACUCAAAAACAAACAAAUCAAAAUACAAAUCGAGACCAACACCCAAGCAGAGCUGUCGCAGUAUUGUGCAGGGAGCACAACCUGCUGCUUUGCUUCCCUUCCCAUCCCUAAACAUGCUAACCAAGGAUCUGGCUCCUCUUUUAGCCAGGUAGCCAUCCCCAAAUUGGCAAUCAAUGAACCAAUUUGGGAAUGGCCACAUUCCACACUUAUUUCUGCAGGGAUGGGAUAUUAACCCCAUCCCUGCCAAACUUAAAUCCUACAACAGAACUUAUUUACAUGCAGGGGCAUCCACCCUGCCACAGGUGCCAAUACUUUUGUCUGCAACUCUGUGUGUGUGUCUAUAUGUAUAAAGUUUGAGGGAUGGGGUUAAAAUCCCAUCUCUGCCAAAUCCAGGUGCAGAAUAUGGCUGGUGCUUAAUUGAAUAAUUGGUGAUUAAUUAAGCCCAGCCACAUGCUAUAUAAGAGGAACCAGCCUUUGUUUAGGAGAAGAGAUGGUUCAGUGAAGGUGUUGCCUAGACUGAACAGAGGAACAAUGAAAGAGAAGGUACCGUGCUGGCUGUAGCUCAGGUGCAGUGUUUGUUUAAGAAGUGUUUUGUUUGAAACUUGUUUUGUUCCUGUGUUCAUUUUAUUUGUUUUAUAAAUAAUAAAAGAGCACCAAGGCGCUGAAUUGCAGUUUACCAGAUCUGUGUUUGCAAUUUCUAUAUUACAUAUAUCCUUGUAAUAGUCGUAUACAUAGGUAGGUACGUGCUAAAAUAUAUUCUUGUGGUUUACAUGUUCCUCUAUCGUGACACUCUGUGGUCGGCAGCUUCAUUUAAAAGGAAACACCAACAUUAUCACUUGUGAUAUUAUGGAGGGAAUACUAAUGGCAUUCCAUCAAUUUUAAUAAUGCCAUACAUCUCUUUACAAUUUAGCAAAUGGAAUUGCAGCAGACCUUCAACAGUGUUUUAAAGUAAGUUCAUGAACUUUCAGCUGCUUCUCUCCAUGUGGUGAGUUAAUGUUUCCAGUGUGUCACGUGCGAUUAAUGCAAAGCAUCAGCUGUUUGUCACUCCUCACAGGGGUGUUUCCCACAAAUGGCAGUGAUGUAAUACUGUUGCAGCUAAAUAAAAUAUAACAGCAGCAGUUACCAUGUGAAGAAAAGUAUAUC